UCAAAGAGCCCAGGUGAGAGCGGCAUUGUGGGUCCUGGAUUCUCACGUUACCCUUUCAACUCCCACCGGGGGCUGGAUGGUGGACAUCAAAGGGUGGAGGAUUAUAGAGCCUGUCACUACUACUGCUAACCUCCACAUACCUGCAGACCUCAGACCUCAGACCGUAGGGCUCAGUAUCUAUCCACUGCUGCCGUUUCCAUUCAACCAGGCUGGAGGCUUUAACUGUAUUCUGUCAGAUGGAACAAUAGCAGCUCUUCCAAAGGACAAGGCUACUCGCUGACUGGCGGAUGGAUGUGUUCAGACAUCACUGCUGAGCGAUGAGUGUGGAUCGGGAUGCAACGCAACAGUGAUGACUGACCGGUGACUAUGGACGUUCAUAGUAAUAAGCAUUAGACAUUUAUAUAUCUUUGACUGACCGGGAAUCAAACCCAGGUAUUCUGCAUGCCACGUGAUUGUGUAAACCAGCUUGUGGUAGCUAACGCAAGUCAUCAGGUUUCAAGUGUCGAGAUUAGUCAUCACGCAAGCUAAGUUCUUCUGUUGCUCUUGUGUAGCGGGCUUAGAUGAAAAUGCUAUUUUCAAGUUCCUCCCUUAAAGCGCAUUCAACAGUUGAAACAAAAACAAUAUGUUUUCCUUGCCCCUGUUUCAGUAAAAAUCUGAGGGAUGGGGCUGGAGAAAUCGAGGCACUCUCAAAUACAUAGACAGAGCUCUGGAUGCAAGGACUGACCACACAUGAAAUCAAAAUUCUAGUUUUAACCAUGUCUAUAAAGUGUUUGUUUACAUUUAUUUUGUUUCCCUACAUUGGAGUAAAACAAGCUUAAAAUGUGGGUUCGGAUGGGGUACGACAGUUGAACAAAGCUUAUGAUGCAUUUAUAAGUUAUAUUCUUCAAGAAUCAAUGGGUACAUAUCAUACUGUACAUUUUUAAGUCCAACAAUGGAUGUAGCAACUGCAGAUUGCCCCUUUAAAGGGGCAUUAUCAUUGACUAUAAACAUAAGUUACUAUAUGGUAAUUCAGAGUUCAAAGAUGCAAUGAUGUUCGUAUAGUUAACAUGUCUCUCAGAAUGGGGCCUCCUAGACAUGAGGGGAAAAUGUUCAUUCAUAAUGUGUAGUGUUUGAUAUAGAUUAGAAUAUUCACGAAUAUAAUAUAGAAAUUAAUGUACGGAAAUGAAGGUUUUAUCCUCCUCAAUUCCAAUAGUUUGAAACUUCACUUUUUCUUCUACUGACGAUUUCAGGGCUACACAGCAACAAAUCCUACCUAAAAUACUGCGGGCGUACAGAUUUCAUUGUCUUGAUUCAUUGAGGUGAAAGGUUAAACCUGGCAGGACUUGAAUGGAAUGGAGCGAUGGGUUGGAGGAGUGAAUAACACAUAUUAGGUGCCAUUUGAAGACACUGAAAAAAUGGCAGGCACAGGUGGUACAUAUCCGUACCACAGACCUAGGACUGCAGAGUUCUCAUUGAUGGUCACAGUAAGUGUACUGAUCACAGGAGGUUGCUGCCGCCUUAAUUUGGGAGGACGGGUUCGUGGCAAUGGCUGGAGAGGAAUUAAUGGAAUGGUAUCAAAUACAUCCAACAUGGUUUCCAUGUCAUCAUCAAAUGUAUUUAUAAAGCCCUUUUUACAUCAGCCGAUGUCACAAAGUGCUGUACAGAAACAGUCUAUGUUACGGAAAGAGCAGGUGUCCUUAAUGUUUUGUGCACUCAGUAUAUGUUGUGUAUACAAGCUUAUUCCCACAGAAAACUGCAGAGGGAAGCAGCACCACCCAGUCAACCAUCAGACUCCAUAGUGAGACGCCUCACGGAGGAUAUUCAACCAUAAUUGCAAUCCAAGCCAUUGUUGUGAGCCGUCCUCCUCUCAGCAGCCUCCUGUGGAACUGAAGUAUGACAGGCUAUUAUUUUGGAUUUCAGUCACAUCUCUGACCUGAGCCCUAGGACCGUGCCCCAGGACUACCUGACAUGAUGACUCCUUGCUGUCCCCAGUCCACCUGACUGUGCUGCUGCUCCAGUUUCAACUGUUCUGCCUUAUUAUUAUUCGACCAUGCUGGUCAUUUAUGAACAUUUGAACAUCUUGGCCAUGUUCUGUUAUAAUCUCCACCCGGCACAGCCAGAAGAGGACUGGCCACCCCACAUAGCCUGGUUCCUCUCUAGGUUUCUUCCUAGGUUUUGGCCUUUCUAGGGAGUUUUUCCUAGCCACCGUGCUUCUACACCUGCAUUGCUUGCUGUUUGGGGUUUUAGGCUGGGUUUCUGUACAGCACUUUGAGAUAUCAGCUGAUGUACGAAGGGCUAUAUAAAUAAAUACAUUUGAUUUGAUUUGAUUUGAUUUUGAUUUGAUGGUACUUGUCACAUUUUCACAUGCAUCGCAUCCUCUACCAUAUUGGUCAAACUCUAGCUAGGUAGGUAACCACUUCAUGCUUGAGUUGAAGCACAGUAAGCCAGACACUUGACAUUCAACCACAACACCAUUCAAAGAUCAUAGCUCAUAUGUCAGGGCAAGAAUAGAAAAAGCUGUAAUAACCUGCCAACUCAUCAUCAUUUUAAGGCACAUCUAAGAGCCUGUUCCCCAGCUGGAGUAGGAUGAAACAGUGCUGUCAGGCCAUGUUAGCAGACCAGGGAGGGGGGCUGGCUAGUCCAUCCAGGUGCUACUAGGAGCCAGCAGGCUGGAGCCCUCCUCACAACGACCACCAGACAACCACUAGAGCUGCUUCCCAAAUAGCACCUAUUCCCUUAAUAAUGAACUAGUUUUGAUCAGGUCCCAUAGGGCUCUGUACAGCACUUUGAGAUAUCAGCUGAUGUACGAAGGGCUAUAUAAAUAAAUUUGAUUUGAUUUGAUUUGAUUUGAUUUGAAAAGCAGUGCACUAUAUAAGGAAUAGGGGGCCAUUUGGGUUGCAUGCUUGCUAACUAGCUACAGCAUUACAGAAUCUGAAACAUA